rnacentral:rRNA from 1 species
AUAAAAUUGAAAUAAUUCGUUAUUUUUAUUUUUUAAGAAAAAGAUUUUUUUAUGUUCAAGUACAUAUUUAGAAAAAAUAAUAUUAUUUAACUGAAAAGGAUUAUAUUUAUAUAAAUAAAAGUAAAUAUUAUAUUGUACCUUUUGUAUCAGGGUAAAUUAAUUAUAUUUAAAAAUUUAUUUUUCCCGAAUUAUGAUGAUUUAAAAUAAAUUGAUUAUUAUUGUUUCAUAAAUAUAAUAAAAUUUAUUUUGGAAAUGAAAUUUUUUCGAAUUAUAAUAUAUCUGGUUUCUUAAAAAUUAAAUUUAAUUUAGAAUAAUUAAUAUAAUUAUUAAUUUAAUUAAAUAUUAUUUAAUUAUUUAAAUAUAUUAAGGAUAAGCUAAAUAUAUUUAUUUAUAUAUAAUAAAUAAUUAAUUAUAAUAGGCUUGAAAUCAGCCAUUUUUAACUAAGUAAUAUUAUAAUUUCUUUUUUAAUUUAUUUUUUUUAUAUUAAGCUAAUAUUAAGAAUUUUUAAAUAAUAAUUUUUAAAUUUAUAAUGAUUUAAUUAGUAAAUUUUUAAUUAUUUUAUUUAUGAAUUAAGCAAAUAUUAUUUUCACCUGUUUAACAAAAACAUGUCUUUUAGAGAAAAAUUAAAAGUCUAAUCUGCCCAAUGAUUUUUGAAUGGCCGCGGUAACUUGACUGUGCAAAGGUAGCAUAAUUAUUAGUCUUUUAAUUGAAGGCUUGAAUGAACGAUUGAAUGAAAAAUAAACUUUAUUAAUAAAAUUAAUUUAAUUUAGUAUUUAAGUAAAAAUUCUUAAAUAAUUAAGUGGGACGAGAAGACCCUAUAGAAUUUAAAUAUUUUUUAUUAUUGUAAAAUUGAAGAAUUAUUAUUUUAAAAUAAAAAAAAUUUUUUUGUUGGGGUGACAUUAAAAAUUAGUUAACUUUUAAUUAAUAUAACAUUAAUAUAUGUUUUUUGAUCCAAUUUUUUUUUGAUUAUAAGAUUUAAUUACCUUAGGGAUAACAGCGUUAUUAAUUUGAAGAGUUCAAAUCGAUAAAUUAGUUUGCGACCUCGAUGUUGGAUUAAGAAAAAAUUUUGAAGCAUCAUUUAAAAUUUUAGGUCUGUUCGACCUUUAAAUUCUUACAUGAUCUGAGUUCAAACCGGCGUGAGCCAGGUUGGUUUCUAUCUACUAAAAAUAUUUUUAAUAUUAGUACGAAAGGACCAUAUUAAAUAAUUUAAUUAU